rnacentral:rRNA from 1 species
CGGUUAAAAAGCUCGUAGUUGGAUUUCUGUUGAAGUCAGCCGGUGCACACUUCGUGUGUUAUUUGGCCUGGCUUUGGCAUCCUCUGGGGGAACGUCUCUGGCCUUAAUUGGACAGGGCGAGAUUCCAGACUUUUACUUUGCGGAAAUUAGAGUGUUCACAGCAGGCAAGUGCUUUGAAUACAUUAGCAUGGAAUAAUAAUAUAGGACCUUCGUUCUAUUUUGUUGGUUUCUAGGACUUAGGUAAUGAUUAAUAGGGACAAUUGGGGGCAUUCGUAUUAACGCGUCAGAGGUGGAAUUCUUGGAUUGCGUUACGACGAACUACUGCGAAAGCAUUUGCCAAAGAUGUUUUCAUUGAUCAAGAACGAAAGUAUGGGGAUCGAAGACGCUUAGAUACCGUCGUAGUCUAUACCAUAAACUAUGCCAACUAGGGAUGUGACGGGUACUCUUUUAUGGCUCGUUGCGCACCUUAUGAGAAAUCAAAGUUUUUGGGUUCCGGGGGGAGUAUUGUCGCAAGGCCGAAACUUAAAGGAAUUGACGGAAGGGCACCACCAGGAGUGGAGCCUGCGGCUUAAUUUGACUCAACACGGGAAAACUCACCAGGUCCAGACAUAGUGAGGAUUGACAGAUUGAUAGCCCUUUCUGGAUUCUAUGGGU